GGACCCGCACAAGUAGUGGAGCAUGUGGUUUAAUUCGAAGAUACGCGCAGAACCUUACCAACACUUGACAUGUUCGUCGCGACUUUAAGAGAUUAAAGUUUUCGGUUCGGCCGGACGAAACACAGGUGCUGCAUGGCUGUCGUCAGCUCGUGUCGUGAGAUGUUGGGUUAAGUCCCGCAACGAGCGCAACCCUCACUUUUAGUUGCCAUCAUUUAGUUGGGCACUCUGAAAGAACUGCCAGUGAUAAGCUGGAGGAAGGUGGGGAUGACGUCAAGUCCUCAUGGCCCUUACGUGUUGGGCUACACACGUGCUACAAUGGUAUCUACAACAGGAAGCAAGACGGCAACGUUUAGCAAAUCCUAAAAAGAUACCUCAGUUCGGAUUGCACUCUGCAACUCGAGUGCAUGAAGCUGGAAUUACUAGUAAUCGU
rnacentral:rRNA from 1 species